CCUGUACCCCUGUUCCCCAGUGUCCCUGUUCCCCAGUGUCCCUGUUCCCCAGUGUCCCUGUUCCCCUGUUCCCCACUCCAUGUGAUGUGGUAUGUCUCCCGUCUACCCCCCAACAUCCUAAUACCCUGGCUAGGGGCAGUGUCUCCCGUCUACCCCCCAACAUCCUAAUACCCAGGCUAGGGGCGGUGUCUCCCGUCUACUCCCCAACAUCCUAAUACCCAGGCUAGGGUCGGUGUCUCCCGUCUAACCCCCAACAUCCUAAUACCCAGGCUAGGGGCGGUGUCUCCUGUCUAACCCCAACAUCCUAAUACCCUGGCUAGGGGCGGUGUCUCCUGUCUAACCCCAACAUCCUAAUACCCUGGCUAGGGGCGGUGUCUCCUGUCUAACCCCAACAUCCUAAUACCCAGGCUAGGGGCGUUGUCUCCUGUCUACUCCCCAACAUCCUAACACCCUGUGUGCCCCUGUCUCCUGUCUACUCCCCAACAUCCUAAUACCCUGGCUAGGGGCGGUGUCUCCUGUCUACCCCCCAACAUCCUAAUACCCAGGCUAGGGGUGGUGUCUCCUGUCUACAUCCUAAUACCCUGGCUAGGGUCUGUGUCAGGACAGUAGAGGGCCUCCACUAUACUACCCUCCAGAACAACACACCAGACCCUCCACUAUACUACCCUCCAGAACAACACACCAGACCCUCCACUAUACUACCCUCCAUACCAAUCACAGACCCUCCACUACACGACCCUCCAGACCAAUAACAGACCCUCCACUAUACUACCCUCCAGACCAAUAACAGACCCUCCACUAUACUACCCUCCAGAACAGACCCUCCACUAUACUACCCUCCAGAACAAUCACACCAGACCCUGAACUAUACUACCCUCCAGAACAAUCACACCAGACCCUGCACUAUACUACCCUCCAGAACAAUCACACCAGACCCUCCACACUAC
ensembl:lncRNA